rnacentral:rRNA from 1 species
AGAGUUUGAUCCUGGCUCAGAUUGAACGCUGGCGGCAGGCCUAACACAUGCAAGUCGAGCGGAUGAAGGGAGCUUGCUCCUGGAUUCAGCGGCGGACGGGUGAGUAAUGCCUAGGAAUCUGCCUGGUAGUGGGGGAUAACGUCCGGAAACGGGCGCUAAUACCGCAUACGUCCUGAGGGAGAAAGUGGGGGAUCUUCGGACCUCACGCUAUCAGAUGAGCCUAGGUCGGAUUAGCUAGUUGGUGGGGUAAAGCCUACCAAGGCGACGAUCCGUAACUGGUCUGAGAGAUGAUCAGUCACACUGGAACUGAGACACGGUCCAA